AAGCAAUAAUGUUUGUAUGUGUGUAUGUAUAUAAGCCUGGUCGUCUCGUCUCUAUCACCUUCGUCGUCGUCAGAUAUAACAAAAAAUAAAACCCACAAAGAAAUGAACAAAAAAGAGGUGACAAUGCAGGUGAAUAGCCCAGUCACUUUCACCCCCAUCAUGAGAAAAAAAAAGAAUCCACACAUGAAAAGAAAAUAGAAAAGUAUUGGCGCAGGUAAUACGCCUCGUCUCUUUCAUGUUAAGAAAGAAGAGAGAGAGAGAGAGAGAGCUUGCUGGUCAUCACUUUCUGCCCUGCUGCCUUAGCUUGGUGGCCUAACAAAGGUACUCCUCCUCUGACCUCUCCUACUACGGCCAGAAGCAAUAACCAACCGCUCUUAGGUUAGGUGAACUCCUGCCUCGCAUCACAGGCCGGUUCGGUUAGUUAAAAAAACCGGUUCAUCACGUCACUUUUGCUUAACUCUUUAUAUAUCACCCUUUCACAAUCCUAUAGACUCCACUAACUCUCAGUUGAACUCUGCUUGUUUUGGUGACAUCAUCGUUUUUGUUUUGCGCGCGUGUGUGGAGGUGCAACCCGUGCAUGUAGGGGUGCUCACGGAUCCAAA
rnacentral:lncRNA from 7 species